GUACUGAAAUGCAUGGUGGGAAAUUAGUGCGAAAUUCACUUGCUGUUCCUGCAACGGUUAUAGUCCGAGCGCCACCCAGUAUAGUCCGCUGUUGAAUGAAGGCCAGGGAAAGUCUAGUUCUACAAUUAAGUU
rnacentral:ncRNA from 10 species